rnacentral:lncRNA from 1 species
GAGAGGGAAGAAGAUCCCAUCCUGUUGGAUAGUAAAUAAGAAUAGAGUUGUUCUAUCUUCAUUAUUCAUGGAUGCCAUGAGAGCUCCUUUUCCCCUACCCCGGUGUAUCCAAGCUCUAUGACACCACACUCUGCUUGACACAGGGGGCUCAGUAAAAGGACGAUGAAUCAGAGUGUCCCCCAAUCCGCAAGUCACCAUUCUGGAGUUUUCUCUUCCUGCUUCUUCCACAUCUGGUCCUUUCAGCUUUGACUUCUACAGCAGGGAUAAGUAAACUUUCUCUACAAAGGGUCAGACUGUAAAUACUAUAACUGUCUCCAUUGCAGCUACUCAGGACUCUACCAUCAUGGUAUAAAAAAAGCCACAGAUACUACAUAAAUGAAUGGGUGUGGCUGUGUUCCACAAAAGCUUUAUUAACAAAAUAGAGAUGGACAGGGUUGGGCUCAGUUUGCAGAUUCCCACUCUAUAGUAUAUCUCAAAACUGUUAGCCAAAAAGAAUGAAGCUGAGGAAAAGAGCCAAGAUUCAAAAACCAUCUCUGCCACUUACUAGGUAUGUGAAUCUGGGAAAGCUUCUUAUGCGGCCUGUGCCUUGCAGGGUUAUUAUGAGGAUUCAGUGAAUUAUUAUAUGUAACGUGCUUCACAGAGUACCUGGCAUCCUAAGCACUGGGGAAGUAUUUGCUGUUUAUCUCAUCAGCAGCAGCAUGAUCAUGUUCUUCAUCAUCAUCAUCAUCAUCAUCAUCAUCAUCAUCAUCAUCACCAAGAAAAGUCUCUGAAUCCUGUGAUCUUCAGCAGCUCUGGGGUCCAGGCAUUACACCCCAUGAUGCCCAGCAUAAAGAUCCAUUUGCUUCCCCUGAGGACUGGAUAGCAUUGGAUUUCGCAGCCUGCAGAUGCGAAACAGGGAAGCAACCCUCAAACUCCUGGGGAGAAGAGCCUGUACCGAGGCGAUCAGGAACAGGAGCCCCCAGGGUGAUGAUUUCUGGAGGACCCAAAGCCCAGG